AGACCCGAAACCCGGUGAUCUAGCCAUGGGCAGGUUGAAGGUUGGGUAACACUAACUGGAGGACCGAACCGACUAAUGUUGAAAAAUUAGCGGAUGACCUGUGGCUGGGGGUGAAAGGCCAAUCAAACCGGGAGAUAGCUGGUUCUCCCCGAAAGCUAUUUAGGUAGCGCCUCGUGAAUUCAUCUCCGGGGGUAGAGCACUGUUUCGGCUAGGGGGCCAUCCCGGCUUACCAACCCGAUGCAAACUGCGAAUACCGGAGAAUGUUAUCACGGGAGACACACGGCGGGUGCUAACGUCCGUCGUGAAGAGGGAAACAACCCAGACCGCCAGCUAAGGUCCCAAAGUCAUGGUUAAGUGGGAAACGAUGUGGGAAGGCCCAGACAGCCAGGAUGUUGGCUUAGAAGCAGCCAUCAUUUAAAGAAAGCGUAAUAGCUCACUGGUCGAGUCGGCCUGCGCGGAAGAUGUAACGGGGCUAAACCAUGCACCGAAGCUGCGGCAGCGAACGUAUCACCCAAGACAACUUUACGGAGUUGACGAUUGACGGAGCGAAGCGACGUCAAAGCGUUCAUUAAAGUCGAGUUGGCUUAGGGAUACGUUCGUUGGGUAGGGGAGCGUUCUGUAAGCCUGUGAAGGUGUGUCGUGAGGCAUGCUGGAGGUAUCAGAAGUGCGAAUGCUGACAUAAGUAACGAUAAAGCGGGUGAAAAGCCCGCUCGCCGGAAGACCAAGGGUUCCUGUCCAACGUUAAUCGGGGCAGGGUGAGUCGACCCCUAAGGCGAGGCCGAAAGGCGUAGUCGAUGGGAAACGGGUUAAUAUUCCCGU
rnacentral:rRNA from 2 species